AGGCUACGCUGGCGGCGUGUCUUAGCCAUGCAAGUCGAGCGGACUUAUGGGGUAACUUAUAAGUCAGCGGCGGACGGCGGAGUAACACGUAGCUAACCUACCCUCUGGACGGGGAUAACCUACCGAAAGGUGGGCUAAUACCCGAUGUAGUCACCCUGUAUAGGGGUGAUGAAAGGUGGGCUUCUGUUUACAAGCUCAUGCUGGAGGAGGGGGCUGCGGCCUAUCAGGUAGUUGGUAGGGUAAUAGCCUACCAAGCCGAUGACGGGUAGCCGGCCUGAGAGGGUGACCGGCCCGAGGGGCACUGAGAUACGGGUCCCACUCCUACGGGAGGCAGCAGGCUAGAAAUUUGGGCAAUGGGGGAAACCCUGACCCAGUGACGCCGCGUGCAGGAAGGAGCCCUUCGGGGUGUAAACUGCUGUCGUGUAGGGAGAAGGGUACUAAGGUGAACAAUCUUAGUACUUGACGGUACUACAGGAGGAAGCCCAGGCUAACCUCGUG
rnacentral:rRNA from 1 species